UACGUAGGUGGCAAGCGUUGUCCGGAUUUAUUGGGUUUAAAGGGUGCGUAGGCGGCUUAUUAAGUCAGGGGUGAAAGACGGUGGCUCAACCAUCGCAGUGCCCUUGAUACUGAUGAGCUUGAAUACACUUGAGGUAGGCGGAAUGUGACAAGUAGCGGUGAAAUGCAUAGAUAUGUCACAGAACACCAAUUGCGAAGGCAGCUUACUAAGGUGCAAUUGACGCUGAGGCACGAAAGCGUGGGGAUCAAACAGG
rnacentral:rRNA from 1 species